UACGUAGGAUGCAAGCGUUGUCCGGAAUUACUGGGCGUAAAGCGUGCGCAGGCGGUUAUGUAAGACAGUUGUGAAAUCCCCGGGCUCAACCUGGGAAUUGCAUCUGUGACUGCAUAGCUAGAGUACGGUAGAGGGGGAUGGAAUUCCGCGUGUAGCAGUGAAAUGCGUAGAUAUGCGGAGGAACACCGAUGGCGAAGGCAAUCCCCUGGACCUGUACUGACGCUCAUGCACGAAAGCGUGGGGAGCAAACAGG
rnacentral:rRNA from 1 species